GGGCCCAUAGCUCAGUUGGUUAGAGCGUCGGACUCAUAAUCCGCAGGUCCCAGGUUCAAGCCCUGGUGCGCCCACCA
rnacentral:tRNA from 1 species